UUUACCCGAAGCUGGUGCGCUAACCCGUAAGGGAGGCAGCCAACCACGGUAAGGUCAGCGACUGGGGUGAAGUCGUAACAAGGUAGCUGUAGGUGAACCUGCAGAAGGAUCA
rnacentral:rRNA from 1 species